UCUCGAUCAUGGAAGCUGGAGCCGGGA
rnacentral:piRNA from 1 species